GAGUUUGAUCGUGGCUCAGAUUGAACGCUGGCGGCAGGCCUAACACAUGCAAGUCGAGCGGAUGACGGGAGCUUGCUCCUUGAUUCAGCGGCGGACGGGUGAGUAAUGCCUAGGAAUCUGCCUGGUAGUGGGGGACAACGUUUCGAAAGGAACGCUAAUACCGCAUACGUCCUACGGGAGAAAGCAGGGGACCUUCGGGCCUUGCGCUAUCAGAUGAGCCUAGGUCGGAUUAGCUAGUUGGUGGGGUAAUGGCUCACCAAGGCGACGAUCCGUAACUGGUCUGAGAGGAUGAUCAGUCACACUGGAACUGAGACACGGUCCAGACUCCUACGGGAGGCAGCAGUGGGGAAUAUUGGACAAUGGGCGAAAGCCUGAUCCAGCCAUGCCGCGUGUGUGAAGAAGGUCUUCGGAUUGUAAAGCACUUUAAGUUGGGAGGAAGGGCAGUAAGUUAAUACCUUGCUGUUUUGACGUUACCGACAGAAUAAGCACCGGCUAACUCUGUGCCAGCCGCCGAC
rnacentral:rRNA from 1 species